rnacentral:rRNA from 1 species
UCGGGAAUUUUGGGCAAUGGGCGAAAGCCUGACCCAGCAACGCCGCGUGAAGGAUGAAGUCUCUCGGGAUGUAAACUUCGUAAGAAUAGGAAGAAUAAAUGACGGUACUAUUUGUAAGGUCCGGCUAACUACGUGCCAGCAGCCGCGGUAAUACGUAGGGACCAAGCGUUGUUCGGAUUUACUGGGCGUAAAGGGCGCGUAGGCGGCGUGGUAAGUCACUUGUGAAAUCUCCGAGCUUAACUCGGAACGGUCAAGUGAUACUGCUGUGCUAGAGUACAGAAGGGGCAAUCGGAAUUCUUGGUGUAGCGGUGAAAUGCGUAGAUAUCAAGAGGAACACCUGAGGUGAAGACGGGUUGCUGGGCUGAUACUGACGCUGAGGCGCGAAAGCUAGGGUAGCAAACGGGAUUAGAUACCCCUGUAGUCCCUGAGCGGGCUGGCAAGGCGCAU